rnacentral:rRNA from 1 species
GUCCACGCCGUAAACGAUGUGUGCUAGCUGUCGGAUGUUCAGCAUUCGGUGGCGGAGCGAAAGUAUUAAGCACACCGCCUGGGGAGUACGGCCGCAAGGUUAAAACUCAAAGGAAUUGACGGGGACCCGCACAAGCGGUGGAGCAUGUUGUUUAAUUCGAAGCAACGCGAAGAACCUUACCCACACUUGACAUACCUCUUGGGACUUUCAGAGAUGAUUGUCUUCGGUUCGGCCGGGGAGUGUACAGGUGCUGCAUGGCU